AAGAUUGCGAUUUACGGUUCUGAUUUAGUGUUUGGAGGCUAAUUGUUUUCUUCCUUCCGUUUCAAUUCUUCUUUCCUUCCUUCCCGGCUUUCUGCUCCUUCAUUUCUGCAUUUCACUUUCUCCUCUUUAUAAAAUAGACUGAAUUCUCAGGCCAAGAUGAAGGAUAGAGAGAUGGGAUGUCUUGUCUUCCCACUCAGUGUAUCAUUCUCAACAGAAAGAGGUUUGUCUAGCCAUUCAAACUAAAUGACUUAAUGAGGAAUCCCCUUGACAUGAAAACAAGAAAAACCUAUAGCAUUUUUCCUUUCAAGACAAGCUCAACAAUCCUCAACAAUCUGAUAUCCUCCAGCUGGCUGAUAAGAUAAGAACAUCAGUGGCCUCGGUGUCUUCCCAGCAGCAAUUGUUCCAUUUUUAUGUAUUUCCAAAAGAGAAUCAUCUACACAAGAGAAUCAUCUGAUCUAGGACUUCGUUAUAAGUUCCUCUUGAACUUAUCUAAUCACAAGCGCAUCUGAGUCUGCAGGAGGAAAUAACAAAUUGCCUCAUUCCAUCAGGACCUGCUUAUCUAUCAUGAAUUUGACAACCAAAUGCAAAAUGUUAACAUCCGGUCAUGAGAAUAACUUCAUUAGCACAAAAACAGAAGCUGAGUUCCUGAUUGUGCAAAGCUCUAGUUAGUUUUAAUUCUGA